UCGAGAUAUAUAAUUAGCUUCCGAUACAUUCAACGAAGAUAUAUAAUUAGUUGAAAUUUUUGUAAUUACUUUAUAAGAGUGAAGCUUUGUAUAAAUAUGAUAGGUUGAAAUAUAUAUUUAUAUUAUUUUUCCAUAAUUAAAACUUAGACUUUCAAAACAACUUACUUAAUAACUCAUAUCUAAAUAAUAUACCUUUACUAAGUGGCAAAUAAAUGAG
rnacentral:lncRNA from 1 species